GGUCCAAAUCUCAGCGCAAAUAUUUUCAAGGUGUAACUGUAAACUCCAUAAAAUUGAUGAAAUCUGGAAGGAAAUUCGUGCUAAGCUCAUAUUGGAGUGAUUCAAUUGGAUCAAUUUUUGAAUUUUCUUCUCAGUUCUUCCUCAAAUCGAGAUCGGGGCUAGGAUCUUUUCCAUCUUUCUUUACCGAUUUGAUUAUGCUACUCUUAAAAUCUAUAUUUUCACUGAUUUUCGCUUAAGCUCUCGAAUUCAGUGACUCCUCUUGAAGUUGUAGAAAUGGGAGGUCUGGGCCUGCCGGUUCGACAACUGCUGGCUCGAUAAUUGCCUUACCUCUCAAAUUUCGAUAGGAGAAUCGUCAUUUGCGAAGCUGGAUCCAACAGAAUCGAUGAUGUUAGAGCACAGAGGAAGAAUCCAAGAUAGAACCAGAGGGGGUUUAACAACAAAAAAGAAGAAGAAAUAGAUUAGCAUGUAUAAAAGACCCUUUCAAUAAUUGAGUAAAAAUUAAUCAUUCAUAGAAAGUAGACUUACAUUGUUCAAAGAAAUGGAUUUAUUGUCAAAGUGAAAUGAGGGAGAAUACUUAA